rnacentral:rRNA from 1 species
CUACGGGCCGCUGCAGUGAGGAAUAUUGGUCAAUGGACGAAAGUCUGAACCAGCCAUCCCGCGUGCAGGAAGAAUGCGCUAUGCGUUGUAAACUGCUUUUCCGGGGAAAGAAAAUUCCGCACGUGUGCGGAACUGACGGUACCCCGGGAAUAAGCAUCGGCUAACUCCGUGCCAGCAGCCGCGGUAAUACGGAGGAUGCGAGCGUUAUCCGGAUUUAUUGGGUUUAAAGGGUGCGUAGGCGGACUUAUAAGUCAGUGGUGAAACCUUCCGGCUCAACCGGGAACCUGCCAUUGAUACUGUUAGUCUUGAGUAUGGUCAAGGUAGGCGGAAUGUGUAAUGUAGCGGUGAAAUGCUUAGAUAUUACACAGAACACCGAUUGCGAAGGCAGCUUGCUGGACCAUUACUGACGCUGAGGCACGAAAGCGUGGGGAGCAAACAGGAUUAGAUACCCUCGUAGUC